GUAUAAAGAUGGAAAGAAACUGAAGCCGAAACCGAACUACAACAGUGUGGAUCUGUCUGAGGUGGAGUGGGAGGAUACAGAGGAGAAACUGAGAACAGCCAUGGUGAAAGGAGAGACUGGCAGCAGCAGCCUGAACAUCAGAGCCUCAGUGGAUAAAGGGAAACGACCUCUGUUCCUCGUCAACGAGUACUUCUACACAAACAUCGACGAGACGCCUUUCAGCUUCGGCAUGGUGCUGACGAGGGGUCCCGGAAAGCUGAUGUUCAUGGGGAAUGUGUCUGUGGAGGAAGG